rnacentral:lncRNA from 1 species
GAGAAGUCUAGGAGCCUUUGACUAUGCCCUGGCAGGUAUAGAGUAAAGUCCAGGAGCCUUUGACUACGCCCUGGCAAUGGUAAGUACAGAGGUGUUAUAUACACAUAUAUAUAGAUAUAUGACAGGAAGACCAGGUGCUCGAUUCUACGCCCUGGCACGGCAGAGUUACCGGGACUAUGUGGUGACAGGUUUACCCUUGAUGUGGAUUGUCUGUGUUAUGAUG